rnacentral:tRNA from 1 species
GCCAUAGAAGCUGAAAUAUAUAAGCGCUGGUCUUGUAAACCAGAAGUUGAAUACACAAUUCCUAAGGCU